rnacentral:misc_RNA from 1 species
AAAAGCAGUCAACCGCAGGGGGACGGUUACCACGGAGUGAUUCAUGACUGGGGUGAAGUCGUAACAAGGUAGCCGUAGGGGAACCUGCGGCUGGAUCACCUCCUUAAUCGAAGAUCUCAGCUUCUUCAUAAGCUCCCACACGAAUUGCUUGAUUCACUGGUUAGACGAUUGGGUCUGUAGCUCAGUUGGUUAGAGCGCACCCCUGAUAAGGGUGAGGUCGGCAGUUCGAAUCUGCCCAGACCCACCAAUUGUUGGUGUGCUGCGUGAUCCGAUACGGGGCCAUAGCUCAGCUGGGAGAGCGCCUGCUUUGCACGCAGGAGGUCAGGAGUUCGAUCCUCCUUGGCUCCACCAUCCAAACAAUCCUCCAAAGCUCAAAAAUGAAUGGUCCUAAAAGAACAUUGAUUUCUGGGCCUUGGCCCCAAACUGGUCCUUAAAAAAUCCGGGAUGGGAAAAAAACAAAACCGAACGAACCCCUUCCCUGGGGAACAUUCCAGUUCAGGGAAAAUUUUCCAAUUCCAGCCCCAAUUUUCCGCCAAUGGCCUCUUCAACGUAUAACCCAAAUGGUUGGGGGUAUAUGGGCAAGUGAAAAAGCCCAUACGGG